rnacentral:rRNA from 1 species
GAUGAACGCUGGCGGCGUGCUUAACACAUGCAAGUCGAACGGAAAGGCCCAAGCUUGCUUGGGUACUCGAGUGGCGAACGGGUGAGUAACACGUGGGUGAUCUGCCCUGCACUUCGGGAUAAGCCUGGGAAACUGGGUCUAAUACCGGAUAGGACCACUUCUUGGAUGUUGUGGUGGAAAGUUUUUUCGGUGUGGGAUGAGCUCGCGGCCUAUCAGCUUGUUGGUGGGGUAAUGGCCUACCAAGGCGUCGACGGGUAGCCGGCCGGAGAGGGUGUACGGCCACAUUGGGACUGAGAUACGGCCCAGACUCCUACGGGAGGCAGCAGUGGGGAAUAUUGCACAAUGGGCGCAAGCCUGAUGCAGCGACGCCGCGUGGGGGAUGACGGCCUUCGGGUUGUAAACUCCUUUCGCUAGGGACGAAGCGUUUUGUGACGGUACCCGGAGAAGAAGCACCGGCUAACUACGUG